rnacentral:rRNA from 2 species
UCCCGUUGAUCCUGCGGGAGGUCGCUGCUAUUGGGAUUCCACUUAGGCAUGCAAGUCAAGGGUUCUUCGGGACACUGGCAAAAGGCUCAGUAACACGUCGAUAAUCUGCCUUAUGGUCUGGAAUAACCACUGGGAAACUGUGGCUAACACCGGAUAAGAAAUAAAAACUGGAAUGUUUUAUUUCUGAAAGUUUACGCCAUAAGAUGAGUCGGCGGCUGAUUAGGCUGUUGGUGAGGUAAAGGCUCACCAAACCUGAGAUCGGUAGGGGGGAUGAGAGUCCUAGCCCCGAGAAGGGCACUGAGAUAAGGGCCCUAGCCCUAAGGGGUGCAGCAGCCGGGAAAACUUUACAAUGCACGAAAGUGUGAUAAGGGAAUCCUAAGUGCCUGCCUUUUGGGUAGGCUUUUGUUAAGUGUAAGUAGCUUAACGAAUAAGUGGUGGGUAAUACUGGUGCCAGCCGCCGCGGUAACACCAGAGCCACAAGUGGAGACCACAAUUAUUGGGUCUAAAGCGUUCGUAGCCGAAUGAGAAAGUCUUUUGUGAAAUGGUUAUGCUUAACAUAACCGUGAGCAAUUGAUACUCCUUAUUUAGAGACCGGGAGGGGACAAGAGUAUGCCAGGGGGAGCGGUAAAAUGUUAUAAUCCUUGGUAGACUACCGAUAGCGAAGGCACUUGUCCAGAACGGGUCUGACGGUCAGGAACGAAAGCUAGGGGAGCAAAAGGGAUUAGAUACCCCUGUAGUCCUAGCUGUAAACGCUGCAUACUAUGUGUUGCAUAUCCUAUGUGGGUAUGCAGUGCCGGAGCGAAGGCGUUAAGUAUGCCACCUGGGUAGUACGGCCGCAAGACUGAAACUUUAAGGAAUUGGCGGGGGCGCACUACAAGGAGUGACGCGUGCGGUUUAAUCUAACUACACACAGAGAAUUUCACCAGGGGCGACGGCAGGAUGAAGGUCAGAUUAAAGGUCUUACCUAACGAGCCGAGAGAUGUUGCAUGGCCGCCGUCAGUUCGUGCCGCAAGGUGUCUGGUUAAGUCCAGUAACGAACAAGACCUAUGCCUCUAUUUGCCACCGACUUCUUUUGAAGGAUCGAGCACAAUAGAGGGACUGCCUUGGUAACGAGGAGGAAGGUGUAGGCAACGGUAGGUCUGUAUGGCUCGAAUCUCCUGGGCUACACGCGCGCGGCAAUGGUAAGGACAAUGGGAUACGACUCCGAGAGGAGAAGUCAAACCUCGAAACCUUACCCCAGUACAGAUUGAGGAUUGUAACUCAUCCUCAUGACGCCGGAAUUCCUAGUAAUCGCUUCUCAUCAAGGAGCGGUGAAUAUGUCCCUGUGCCUUGCACACACUGCCCGUCAAGCCAAUCGAGCAGGGUUUGGGUGAGGCUCAAUCUUCGGAUUGAUACGAACCUGAGCUCAGUGAGAAGGGUUAAGUCGUCACAAGGUAUCCGUA